GGAUUUUUAUUCUACCCCUCUGCAGCCUGGUGGCCAAAGUGGCUUUCUCCCUUCAGGGGCUCCUGCCCAGCAGAUGCUUCUACCCAUGGUAGACUCACAGCUGCCUGUGGUGAACUUUGGCUCCCUGCCGCCAGCACCACCUCCUGCCCCACCUCCCCUUUCUCUGUUACCUGUGGGCCCUGCUCUGCAGGCCGCCAGCCUGGCUGUGCGACCCCCACCUGCUCCUGCCACUCGGGUGCUGCCUUCACCUGCCAGGCCCUUCCCCGCUAGCUUGGGGCGAGCAGAGGUAAGGUACAGGAACUGAGGGGCUAGGGAGCGCCAAGACUUAGGAGUAGGGAUUCUGUAUUUCAAGGUAGGCAGCUCGUGAUUUUUUUCCUCAGCUGCAUCCAGUGGAACUAAAGCCGUUCCAGGAUUAUCAAAAACUGAGCAGCAACCUUGGGGGACCUGGGUCAUCACGGACUCCCCCAACUGGAAGGUCCUUCUCUGGCCUCAAUUCCCGUCUCAAGGCCACGCCUUCCACCUACAGUGGAGUCUUCCGCACCCAGCGUGUUGACCUUUACCAGCAGGUGAAGGAGAAACCCCUGUGGCCCCAACUCUAAAUUCGAGUUGCCACCUGAUUCCUGUCCUUCCAUCCCAUCCCUGACCUCCCACUGUGACUCACUCUUUAACACAUGCCUGUUCCCUAGGCCUCCCCACCAGAUGCCCUGCGCUGGAUACCUAAGCCUUGGGAGCGGACAGGGCCACCACCUCGAGAAGGGCCCUCCCGACGGGCAGAGGAGCCUGGGUCCCGAGGGGACAAGGAGCCUGGGUUGCCCCCACCCCGCUGAGGGAGUUCCUCUUGCCCCCUACCCCCGGGGCUUGUAUAUAGAUUAUAAAUAUAUAAGGGGGAAAAGGGUGGGUGGGGAGGGGCUGUGGGGCUGGGGCCUCACUUCCCCUCCUCCCCCUUCCCCUGGUCCCCUGUCCCUGGGGCUGUUUGUUAAAAAAGAGUAAUAAAAGGAUUUAAAAAAAAA
rnacentral:sRNA from 1 species